AUGGAUUAUCCUGGUCAAGGUUUUGCUAAAUUGAAAUACACUGAUGCAUAUCUCCUACCAAUUCAGAGGGGUCAAUUCUAUCUUGACUCACACACCGACUUAAUAAGUACUAGAUUGCACCCAGUAUCCUUCCGUCACUAAGUUAAAAACUCAGAUGGUCUAGUACUAAAGUAUAGUGAGUUGCUUACAAGUCACCGUGGUGGUCUCAGAUCGGAGGGACACUUAUACCCAUACCCUUCACAAGCUACUCUUGACCGCAGAGUCUCGGCACAUGAUCACAUUCGAUGCGAAUGUACUCCUACAUUGCAUCUGCAUGCUAUAACAGUAUCUCCACACUCCUUGAUUAAGAGAACAACCAACUCAUAUGGCACACAAUGAUCUACUCUUGAUAUCACUAUCGUCCUAUUAAUAGCGUAUCGUUUGGUCACGA
rnacentral:lncRNA from 1 species